ensembl:lncRNA
CGGCAUUGAGUUCCACCGGGUGAUUCACCGUCUGCGCGUCUCCAUCACUAUACGCUCUUUGCAUUUGCCUCGUUUUCGCCCGCCUCCCUGAGCGCGUACAACCCUGGAAGCUGCUGGAUAUGCGCAUGGCCGCCAAUCUGUGUCGUUUAUGGGUCACAGCAUCCUUUUAGGAAGCCUACACCGGAGGAUACAAUCGGACAACGCAAUAGCGUAGCCCACCUUACCGGUGUUCGACUAACAUUUUACCAGGUAGACUUUCAAGGAAUAAUUCUAAUUUUCUUUAUUUAAUCAAACGUUGUAAUCGCCAACUGGGUGAUUUUUCUGCAUUGAAACACAUACAGUAUGGCCAGUAUUUGUCUAUGAAAUGAUACGUGUGGUGUGCGGUCCUGCGCCUCAUCGGAUACCUGACUGAUUUUACAGGGCGUGGUGUUCAUAAAUGGUCUAUUACCUACAGAAAUUGUCUAUUUUAUUGAAAGUCUGCCCUUGGGCCCACCCAUGUAGAGCAGAGCUCCAAGGUGCUUUGUAAUUUCACCAAGCUGACUACCACAGUGUAGGUUCAAGACCAAGCUAACCAUCAUAGUCCAGGUUUAAGUCUUGACUUGGCUAACUGAUGACUGGCUGUGAAGCCCCAUUGACCCGGGAUGAUAUUAGCUAGCUAAUGUCGUCACAAGGGGGAGUGUACCCUCACUCGUAUGACCCACACAAUGUUUUUGUUGGAGCAGUGUGAGAAAGAAGAACGGAACGAGGGCUAUGAGGAAGGCAUGCCAGUCAUCAACACUCCCAUAACUGUUGUGAAGUUAAUGCAAUGACACUAGGCUGGUUGACUAUUGGAUAUGAGAAAAUUUGGGGCAAAAAAGGGUACAACAAACAAAGUUGAUCAUUCCAUACGCAUUUCCCAACCCUUGGUGCCUGUUUAACUAUUUUGAAAAGCCUUCUUCCUUCCAUAAUAAAUUAUAUGACAUGAAUAGAUGUCAUGUAAAGACUGUACAAAGAACCAUAAAAAAUGUACGUAUGGCCUAGUAGAACUAGUACUUUCUUA